GUGAGGAAUAUUGGACAAUGGGCGCAAGCCUGAUCCAGCCAUGCCGCGUGCAGGAAGACGCAUCUAUGGUGUGUAAACUGCUUUUGUACGGGAAGAAACACUCCCUCGUGAGGGAGCUUGACGGUACCGUAAGAAUAAGGAUCGGCUAACUCCGUGCCAGCAGCCGCGGUAAUACGGAGGAUCCAAGCGUUAUCCGGAAUCAUUGGGUUUAAAGGGUCCGUAGGCGGUUUAAUAAGUCAGUGGUGAAAGCCCAUCGCUCAACGAUGGAACGGCCAUUGAUACUGUUAGACUUGAAUUACAAGGAAGUAACUAGAAUAUGUAGUGUAGCGGUGAAAUGCUUAUAUAUUACAUGGAAUACCAAUUGCGAAGGCAGGUUACUACUUGUGGAUUGACGCUGAUGGACGAAAGCGUGGGGAGCGAACAGGAUUAGAUACCCGGGUAGUCC
rnacentral:rRNA from 1 species